UAUAAUUUUUACUUAUAAAGUGAUCAAAGAAUUUUCAAUUUUUUUAAUUGAAUAGGAGAAAAAUAUAUGGCUCGAAAUCUCAAGUUUGUUUAUGCUUUGAUCAUUCUUCUUUCUUUAUUUCUUGUUGUAACCAAUAGCAGCAGAUUUAGACGUUGCAAAAAUGAUGCCUGAUUGUAUAGGAUAUAUUUGUUUACGUGGUUUAAAAGCAAAGUGCAUUUCUUUCUAUUGUAUGUGCGUGUAAGAGUAACAAGUUAUAUAUGAACAUGAAUUCAAUGUAUAAAAAACCAAUAAUUUGUUGAAAUUAUAAAAUAGCAAAAUAAAAGAGAUUUAAAUAUCAAAUAAGAAAAACAAUUAUGUUA